GGAAGCAUCUCUGGUUGGAGAUCCCUCCCUUGUGGAGUCUUUCAUGCAUGCUUAGGUCUUUAGAGACAGCCUCCAGCCCUUCAGAGGAAGGGAGAAGGAAGGGAUAUGCUCUCAGGAGACAGGUUAUGAAUCAAGAUCACUUCAUACUGAAUGCUGACAAGCAACUGAAGGAAGCUCUGAAGCAGAGGAUUCGUGUGAUAAAGAAAGAGAAGUGCUUUUUCCUGGUUGAGUGCUGAGAUGGAUAAUACAUGGAAUAAACUUCAAGGCUUCAAGUACUUUGAGAUUGUUAUUAAGUCUGGUGGUUUCUUACACCCAGCGCAUUGUGAAAUGCACAUGGUGGCAGCUGUUAAGCCUAAUGAAACCCACAGCAGGGAAGAAAACAAAGCAUCACCUACAAAAAGAAGAAGCAAGGACCACAGACAGAUCCCAAAACUCCACUGGCAGUGACUGAAUGGAGCAAUGACUCUUAUCACAAGAGGAAACGAAGCUGCCUUUCCUUGCUGCUCAUUUUCCUCAUAGCUGUAUCUGCUUCUAAGGAGCAACUGACAAUGGAUGAACUUUGUGCUGACUUUUUUAAAAAAGGGAAGCUAUAUGUAGAGCUGCAAGGCUAGGGAGAAGUGUUGUGGAUGUUAUUUUAGUUUCCCUUAGGUAAACCUUUAACAGCGAGCUCUGCAUCAUAUCAAUAGGCCCUUCUUGCAUGGUGUAACCAUCAUCUGGCUGACAAAACAGCAGUCAGCACAAAUAAUUGUGUAAUAAUGUUCUGAGACUCCAGAUUCUUGCGUUGGUUUUACACAGCACUGAUUGGGAAGUGAGCCAUAGAGUCUUAGAUAAGAAGUUCAGAGUUAAUGCAGGGAUUACAACAAUAUACAAUGAAGGUGAUUCACAGAUGGAGAGAAAUGGGGUUUCAUUUAAUGGGCCUUCCAGACCAGGAAGGUCCUCCUCUCUCCAUAUUGCA